GUUUUGAGAGAAGGGAGAAGGAAGGGGGUGACACUAUUCACCUCCACCUUCCGGAGGCCAUAACUUUUGAUUCGGAGCUCCGAUUGACGAGCCAUUUGCGGCCACGUGAAGCUCUCGUCGAGCUCUACGUUUCUAUCUAAAGAAACCUGGUGAUCUCUAGUAGCAGAUAAUUGUUGGAUUUUACCCCUACUUACAUUGGAUAAGAUGCAAAUCACAACCUACCUCGGUAAGUUGUUUGGUUGGUGACAGAAGCGGAGGAUCCGGAUACCUUUUGGAGUCUUUUUGGUUUGGUUUGUAUUUGUCUCUCACUUUUGUAUUUUUGUUUUGGCUUAGAGGCCUGUAUUUGAGAGAGAACAAAUCUUGUAUAAGCCAUUUUUAAACUUUAGUUCCUCUUGUCUGUAUG